UCUUAUGGAUGAUCGGAGAAAGUGGUUUCUUGAGAUGGAAUCUACUCCUGAUGAAGAUACUGUGAG
rnacentral:pre_miRNA from 1 species